UGGCUUAUGAUCAGUAUAAAUCGUGAA
rnacentral:sRNA from 1 species